CGGCCCCUGUCUUCCAGGAUUUAUGCAGCCUGAUGCAGGAGAGACAGGUAGAUAAGAGAAGAGCUGCCAGUGCUAGGAUGGGCAGCCCUUCACCCUUCAUGGACAGCCUUCCCCUGGCUCCUGUACUUGGCGGAUGCCUCAUGAGGAUUUAAUUAUACAUUGUUUUCUUUGUACUUUAGUUGCUGAGUCUCAUAUCCCCAAGUAAAUUGUAAGCAUAGGACUGAGUACACAGUGAGCACUUUAGAAACAUAUGCUGGCUUGAUCUUUCACCUCCAGAUGCAUAUUUAAAAGGAGAAUCGAUUGCCUGGCCUAUUGUAAAGGCCUUGUAAACUUUAAAAAGCAAAUUAAAAAACAAAAUCAAUGAUGACGUUAAGCUCUUGGGGAUCCCCAUAACGUCCUGGUGAUUAGAGUGGCUAGGCGACUAGGCUUUGGAAUUCAUGGGACAGUGCACUUUUAAAUUUGGCAGUUCUAAAAUGAAAAUAAAGAAUUGUCCUUUGACUCUAAUAAAGUUAGCUUAAUGGAAAACUC
rnacentral:lncRNA from 10 species